CGGGAUCGAAACAGCUGUUAUGGAAAAAAUAACCUGUAACUGCCAUUAAUGGCCUGUUAUGCCACCCUGUAAAGGUCUGUUACGUGGCAGAUAUAGGUUUUUUGGAAUUUUUUUUCGAUGUCAUGGGACAGAUACAGGUUUUUCGGUUUUUUUAUUUUUUAUUUUUUAUUUUCUCAAUAAAAAAGACUGUAACUGCUGUUAUGACUGUAUCUUAAAGGUAACAGUGGUGGCCAUUAUGGCCACCAUUACUGUUACGGAAUACCUUGGUCAUUCUUGCUUGAUAUAUUUGUGGUAAAUUUAUGGAAGUUUCUGGUCACAGACCGGAAAAGUUAAUACAUUGCUAUUGCUGGACACUGUCACUUUUUGGAGAGUCCUUGUGUAAAAUCGAGCACUGGCAGCUAUAGUGCAGUGAGAGUAUGAGAAAUGCUAAUUGCACUCUCUUGAGUGCUCUAUGAAAGUGCAUUCAGCUUCAAGGAGCGACUUACAUGCUCUGGGCAGCUCUUUAGGGAGCAGAUUGGGUGAGGCGCUUAUGUGGUGAGAUUUGAUUGGGCCAUGUAAAGUAUGUUUGAAAGUGGUUGGGUUGAGUACGUACUUGGCUGAUGGCACAUGUGGCUGGACCAAUCAAAUCUUGCUGCAUUAGGGCUCCCAGCUCUUUAAGGAAUCCUCUGACUGUUUAGAUUCCAUACAUCAGGAAUCUGGAAAGUAUGGGGCACGGAUUGGGUACUGGCCUUGCCUGUACUGUACUUUCUCUGCCCCUGACAUGGCGGGAUUUGAUUGGAUGGCAGGCUUCUGUUAGAGAUGAGGCCCAGUCAAGUAUGUACUCAACAAAACAACUUUCAUUUAUGCUUUGCGUGGGCCUCCUCUUCGGUAGUGGCUUGCCGCCGUCCAAUCAAAUCCUGCCACAUUAGGGAUGGAGGGAGCUCGGUUCAGGCAGGGGCAGUAACCAAUCCAUGCUCAAAAGUAUGAUUGGGAAGCAGGCCAUGCAUGUAAAUAACUUGGAACAACAUCAUCAUCCGAGGCUGCUCUCAAUUAAUCAAGGCAGGUGUAAGUAACAAAUCCUGUUCCACUCUGCCUAGGACUCUUAUCAUCAGUUAGACCCUAGCUCGUUGAAUGUUUUCUUAUUAUCUCUGCCUGCGUUCUUUCGCUCUUUGUACCUUGCACUAUGCACAUUUAUAGCAUUUGACCUGGAUACUGGUGUAGUUUUUGGCCUUCGAUGCACAUGACCAGACUGUCUAGGUCCACUUUCCCUCAUCUUAUACCUAUUGGGGCUAUUGGUAAGUUCCCUUGAAUGUAUUCAUUUCUAAUUUUCUGUUAAUGUAUUCAUUUCUAAUUUUAUCAUUCCUUGUCCAAUUAUUCAUAUAGCUUAAUUUCCUCAUUUCAGCUAAAGCCUUUCUAUGAAUGUGUUGUUCCUUGUUCACCAACAUUCGGUCACAAAGAGCGUGGCUUAUCGUUUAGCUGUCCUAUAGAAUCCCCCCCUCAAUUUGAUUGUUUUGUGGAGAUAAUGCAAUUCUCUAGAAACAUGUUCCACUUCAUCCACCCAACUCUAAUUCUAAAUACCAUCCUUAAUCUCUCUGUUCUCAUGAAUUAUUGAUGUGGUCAUUUAGGGAUACUUCUUGACCAUCAAUCUUAACCAAUCCCUCAAUUGUUACUAGAAUUGCAUAUCAUGUAUAUUGCUUUUGUCCUGCGAAUUUUAACACCUUUAGAUUUUAAAGCAUCCUUCCAUAGUUUUACAUUUACCACCUUCCCUGUGUCAUCAAUCAAACUACCUUUACAAUUACUUCCUCGUCUCAUCUAUCAGAACUAUGUCAUUUGCAAAUAACAUACACCAUGAGAUCUCAUGUCUAUGUAACUCAUCCAUAACCACUGCAUAGUUCUACUGUAAUUGAAAACUCACAUUUCUCUUGUUAGUGGUCUCAAAUUAGUUACCUCUCUCUCUCAUAACAAUUUAUCCUUUUGAGACUCCUUACUUUCCUAAAAUCCACCAGUUUUAUCCUAUUCUAUGCUUCCUCAAGUCAAUAAGGACCAUGUGGAGAUUUCCUUGCACAUAACUUCUCUACCAACUAUCGAGAAAAUAGCCUUAAUGGUUGACCUCACUGGCACAAAUCUGAAUUGAUUUUCUUAUACAUUCAUUUGAUGCCUUGGUUUUUGCUCAAUCAGUCUCUCAAAUUUUCACGAUAUGACUUGUAAGUUCAACCCCUCUGGUAGCUAUUGUAAACUCGACUUGUAAAUAGGUACCUCAAUAGUCAUACUCCAUCCGGCUGGCGUUUUCUUCGUUUUUACAAUCCUGCUUGCUUCUCUCUCUUUUAUUGUCAUUUAUUUUUAUAAAGAUAACAAGAUGAGGAAUAUAAUUCUACCAAAUGUAUGCUCAUGGUGCUGCCAAGAUAAGGAAUCGGAGGAUCAUCUCUUUAUUCACUGUUCAUUUGCACAGGGGGUUUUGGAUAGCUUGGAAUUGUAUGGGUUUUGCUGAGGUCCAUUGAUCAAUUUUUAUUUUUUUUUAUUUUUUUGGUUUGGCAUGGUGGUGGUAUAGGUAAAGUCGGGAAGAAAGUUUGGCAUCUCUAUAUAUUAGCCGGAAUUUGGUUUCUUUGGUUAGAAAGGAAUAAUAGAUGUUUCAAAAAUUGUAAAGGGCAAGUAUUGGAGGUUUUUAAUAGGGUUAAAUUGCAUGUUGUGGAAUGGGUGAUUGCAUCAAAGGCUAUUCGCUUCUUCCCUGACAGCUAGAUGGAUCUGUAAUUAUUCUUUUUCUUUUGUCUUUUGUAAUUCUUUAGGCUGCGGCCUUUCUUUAAUAAAGUUAUUGCUGUUCAAUUUUUUA